CUUCGCACUAUCAUUUUCUUUAUUAAGUGGACCAUGCAAUUGGGAUCAAACUAUAAUUUGGCAGUAAAAUUAGAAAGAUAAUAUCAUGGGGAACAUGUGUACUAAGUUUCAAGUUGAUUGGACUUCAACUUCUUCAAAAACUACCUUGACCAAAAACUUUAACCUGAAGCGGACGGACGAACGGACGGACGGACGAACGGAGGCACAGACCAGAAAACAUAAUGCCCCUCUACUAUCG
rnacentral:lncRNA from 1 species